AACGAACGCUGGCGGCAUGCCUAACACAUGCAAGUCGAACGAGACCUUCGGGACUUGGGGCGCACGGGGUCGUAACGCGUGGGAAGCGUACCUUAUGGUUGGAAUAACUAUCCGAAAGGGGUGCCAAUACCGGAUAAUGGCUUCUGACGAAAGAUUUAUCGCCUUUGGAUGGUCCCUAGUUGGAUUAGCUUGUUGGUAGGCUAAAAGCAUCCCAAGGGGACGAUUCCUAACUGGUUACAGAGAAAGAUCAGCCACACUGAGACGGGGACGCGGCCCGGACUCCUACGGGAGGGAGCAGUGGGGGAUGGUGGAACGUGGGCGGAAGGAUGAUGCAGCAAGGACGGGUGAGUGAUGAAGGCAUUAGGGUUGUAAAGCUCUUUUAACCGGGAUGAUAAUGACGGUACCGGGAGAAUAAGCCCCGGCUAACUACGUG
rnacentral:rRNA from 1 species